rnacentral:rRNA from 1 species
UACAAAGGAAUUGACGGGACCGCACAAGCGGUGGAUGAUGUGGUUUAAUUCGAUGCAACGCGAAAAACCUUACCCACCUUUGACAUGUACGGAAUCCUUUAGAGAUAGAGGAGUGCUCGAAAGAGAGCCGUAACACAGGUGCUGCAUGGCUGUCGUCAGCUCGUGUCGUGAGAUGUUGGGUUAAGUCCCGCAACGAGCGCAACCCUUGCCAUUAGUUGCUACGAAAGGGCACUCUAAUGGGACUGCCGGUGACAAACCGGAGGAAGGUGGGGAUGACGUCAAGUCCUCAUGGCCCUUAUAGGUGGGGCUACACACGUCAUACAAUGGCUGGUACAAAGGGUUGCCAACCCGCGAGGGGGAGCCAAUCCCACAAAGCCAGUCGUAGUCCGGAUCGCAGUCUGCAACUCGACUGCGUGAAGUCGGAAUCGCUAGUAAUCGUGGAUCAGAAUGUCACGGUGAAUACGUUCCCGGGUCUUGUACACACC